CCUACGGGCGGCUGCAGUGAGGAAUAUUGGUCAAUGGCCGUAAGGCUGAACCAGCCAAGUCGCGUGAAGGAAGAAGGAUCUAUGGUUUGUAAACUUCUUUUAUAGGGGAAUAAAGGUAUCCACGUGUGGAUAUUUGCAUGUACCCUAUGAAUAAGCAUCGGCUAAAUCCGUGCCAGCAGCCGUGGUAAUACGGAGGAAGCAAGCGUUAUCCGGAUUUAUUGGGUUUAAAGGGUGCGUAGGUUGUUUUUUAAGUCAGCGGUGAAAGUUUGUGGCUCAACCAGAGAAUUGCCGUUGAAACUGGAGAACUUGAGUGUGUAAGAGGUAAGCGGAAUGCGUGGUGUAGCGGUGAAAUGCAUAGAUAUCACGCAGAACUCCGAUUGCGAAGGCAGCUUACUGGGCCAUAACUGACGCUGAAGCACGAAAGCGUGGGGAUCGAACAGGAUUAGAUACCCCAGUAGUC
rnacentral:rRNA from 1 species